rnacentral:rRNA from 1 species
AUUGAACGCUGGCGGCAGGCUUAACACAUGCAAGUCGAGCGAGCGGCGGACGGGUGAGUAAUGUCUUGGAAACUGCCUGAUGGAGGGGGAUAACUACUGGAAACGGUAGCCAAUACCCCAUACCAUCAGAUGUGCCCAGAUGGGAUUAGGUAGUAGGUGGGGUAAUGGCUCACCUAGGCGACGAUCCCUAUCUGGUCUGAGGGGAUGACAAGCCACACGGAAACUGAGAAAGGUUCCAGACUCCUAGGGGGGGCGGCAGGGGGGAAUAUGGCAAAGUGGGCGCAAGCCUGAUGCGGCCAUGCCGGGUGUGUGAAGAGGGCCUUCGGGUUGUAAAGCACUUUCGGCGAGGAGAGGUUACUCGCAGAAGAGCCACCGGCUAACUCCUUGCCAGCGGCCGCGGAAAUA